CGUUCACACACACACACACACAUUACUCACCUGUAGUGAAACACAAGAUAAUUAAGACAGGAAGGCUGUUCAUGUCUUGGUGGUGUUUAGUUCGAAUCCCUCGUCCUUUCGGCUCACACAUGGCAUCUGACAGGCGGUACAGAGACGCACAGGGAUCUGUAAUCCGAUUACACAACACAAAAACUAUCCUGUGAUCAACGAGCCUCUCUCCACUUGGGUCGGAUUCAGCGUGAGAUAGGAACAGAAGACCUCGCGGUAAACCUCCGAGGAGAAGGUGCUUGUGGACUGGAGGCGCCUGACUCGUGCGGCACUGACGAACUGCAGGAACGGGACAUGGGGAAGUGAAGAAUGGACCCAAGGAGUUCCAUUUGUCAAAGGAGGAGCCUUUGAUAUCAUCAUGGUUAUUAAGCCAGAAGAUUAUGAGAUGAUAGUGAAUGGCCUGGGAUUCUGCACGUUCAAUCACUACCAGUGGACAACGUGACAACACUUGACAUUCGGGGAGACGUCUUCAGGAACACCUUUGGCGUUAUUGAAGUGGAUGAUGAUAAUCUGAAAGUCAUCAAUCCUGCAAAUAUUUGAGGAUUCAAAUCUUCCCCAAAAGGCCCUCGAGUGUGCCUUGGCAACCCUGGAUAUUAAAAAACAAGGAGCUACAAGGCCCAGGCAGAGAGUCACCGAGCCCUCCACUGCUACUCGCUGGGCCAACAUGAGGUCUUGAAGGUGCCCACCCUGUACACUCAUCUUUGCCUCAUGAUGAGCCCAUGCCCACUGCACUCGAGCUACCUCCUUCUGCCCCAGCCUGGAAACCAUGGCUUGCUGGCUGCGUGAUCCACUUGCCUACCAGUCCUCAUCUACCAAGCGCCCCUGUGUAGGUAGACGGUCAGCCAGUGAAAGCCCUUCUGGACUCAGGCAGCACCAUCAUGCUGAUCUGACCUUCAAUCCUGCCUCUGGUUGAGGGGCGCAGCAGUACAGUAAAGGUCACCUGCAUGCAUGGGGAUGCACAAGAGGUGGCCACCACCAACGUCCACAUUGGGGAUGAGACAGGUGAGUAGGAAUUGUCUGUAGGUGUGGUACCUGACUUCCCUGUUCCUCUCCUCCUAGGUCGGGACUGGCCCGGAUUCCCGAGAGAACUGCCUGCCGCCACGAGGAUGAGGAGACGCUGACCCUCACAAGGAUGUGUGGCAGAUUGUCGGCUGUUGCAGGUCAGUCAGAUUCACAUGUCAGUGUACCAUCCCCAAACUGCGGGCAGGUUGAGAGGUUCAACCAGACCCUGAAGCAAAUGCUCUGGUGAAUAGUGGACAAAAAUGGCUGGAACUGGAACCUCUUUACCCCUUUGUCUUAUUUGCUAUCCAAGAGAUGUCACAAGCAUCCACUGGCUUCACCCCCUUUGAGGUGCUGUUUGGGAGAAGGCUCCAGGGCCUGCUGGAUGUGGCCACGGAGGCCAGGGAGGAGCAGCCCUCUCCAUUCAGCACCACAAUUGAACAUGUAAAAGAAAUGCAAGAGCACAUCGAUAAGGUGGUCCCCAUCAUGUGCCAACAUGCUCACCGCCCAGGCUGAGCAGAGCUGCCACUACAGCCACUCAGCCCAGCCCCAGGUGCUCCGGCCUGGUGCUUGUUUGCUGCUACUCCUUCCCACCACCAACUGCAAGUUUCUGCAGGGUCCCUUCACAGUGGCUGACCAUGUUGGACCAGUGAACUACUGCAUGCAGCAGCAGCCGGGUAAGCACAAGGACACUCAACUGUACCAUAUUAACCUGCUGAAAUGCUGGGGUGAGCCCCUUCCUUUGCUCUCAGCCCACACUCUUGUGUCCCCAGAUCCCACAGGGCAUACACUGGUCCAGCUGGGAGAAGAGCUCUCUGGACAACAGUGCUAAGAGCUGGGAGAACUGCUGGACCAGUAUGCAGAUGUGUUCACAGCAGAGCCAGGCCAAACCUGUGUGAACUACUGUAUGAUCCAGUAUGACAUCCGGACCUCCCUCCCAGGGUGGUAAUUCGUCAACACCGCUCUUGCAUCCCAGAGGGCUGCCGUUGUGUGAUCAAAGAGGAAGUGGCACAAAUGCUGCAAAUGGAGAUCACUGAGGAGUCCACCAGCCCCUGGUCAAGCUCCAUUGUGGUGGUGCCCAAACCCAAUGAAAGUCUGAGGCUAUGCAAUGAUCUGUCUCUGUCCCAAUGAUCAGAAAACUCAACGCCAUCUCAGACUUUGAGAGCUACACCUAGCAUAGUCCCUAAAUGGUAUGCCUGCAGAGUCCAGAAGGGGGAGCUCUCAUCCCCGAUGAGACUCUGCCACACAGAAAGUAUCUUGUCGGAGAGUCCUUAUUAACGUUUUUCCUUUUUCAGGUACGAUAUGAUAAUUUUUAGCUCUUGAACUUCUGAAUGCGUUUGGGUGGCACCAUGGUGCAGUGGUUAGCACGGUCACCUCACAGCAAGAAAGUUCCAGGUUCGAACCUCACAACCAACGGGGGCCUUUCUCUGUGGAGUUUGCAUGUUCUCCCCGUGUCUGUGUGGGUUUCCUCCGGGUACUCCGGUUUCCCCCACAGUUCAAAGACAUGCAGAUUCAGUAAAAUACUCAGCCACUGGGUUUGGACAAGCCAGUGCAUAUACUUAGUGCCAGUCCCAAGCCCGGAUAGAUUGGGGAGGGUUGCGUCAGGUAACACCUCUGCCAAAUCAAAUAUCCGCGACAGAUCCGCUGUGGUGACCCCGAACAAACGGGAGCAGCUGAAAGAAGAACUUUGAAUGGUGUUUGCUUUGUUGUUUAAUUUGUCUUUUAUUAUCAUACUGAAUGGACGUUGCAUGUGUUUUGAAGCAGUAUUUUCAUUUGCAAAUUGG